GUUCAGCUGAUGAGUCCCAAAUUAGGACGAAACGCGCUUGCUGGAU
rnacentral:hammerhead_ribozyme from 1 species